UCAAUUCACUCGACAACAAGAGAAACAAAUGGAGAUUCCUACACAAAGACUUUCAAGCACAAAGAAAUCCUGCUGCCUAUAAAGCAGAGCUGCCUCAGCUCUUGAUGAACGACAGAAAAUACCACCUACUGCCAGACCUCUUCGCCUCACAAAACUCUCACCCACCUACUGCUUUUAGCUCAAAUUCCAGGAAUUCAGAUGAAGUGAAGUGCUCUCAUGGGGACCAGGCGUGGGUAUGCCAGUCCACUGCCCUGCAAGUCUCAAGGGAAACCAACUGCCCAUCAGCAAGUCACACCUGCCUUGGUGGAGGCAUUGAUUGGAAGGGCCACAGGCUACAUGUCCAGUCCUGAGUGGGAGAAUCGGUGUAGGGAUGUUCUGGGGAUGCUGGCUGUGGCUAGAUCAGGUCCAGCUACAGAAGAAUAAUGAAGACUUCACCUGAGGGCUGGAAAAACAAAACCUCAAGUGUGAGGCAGCCAACCUAUUACCUCGAGGGACUGUCCCGCAGCACAGCAGGGCCAUGGGAACAGCAGCAGACACCCCGGCCUCCUCACUACCUGUGUGUGUAUUAGACACCCAGCCUCCUCACUACCUAUCAACUAUGGCCUGA
rnacentral:lncRNA from 1 species